GUACGCCUACAAUUUUUCUUUACGGCAUAUUUUAUUUUAGACUAUUCCGUUCACGGUCUCUUUCUCUCUCUACAUACGCGGCUAUUUCUCCUCUCAGACGUGUAACAUCAACAUCCUCUUGCUUUUGGUGCUUUGGGUUGUUUUCUUACCAUGCAAACACCUGCGUUUCACGGAGACCAACAAUAUAUUUUGGGGUUAAACAUUAUCUCUUCAGGUUUUCAUGGGGAUUAGCAAUAUAUUUUGGGGGUUAAACAUUAUCUCUCCAGAACUACUGACGCUUCUGUUACAUUCGGUACCCCAAAAAGAGUUGCUCGACGUGCUUAUAGGUGCUGUAUAUAUCGAGGUGCAGUAUCUUUUUGUGCUUCCACAUACUCGGUAAUAUAAAUUGAUACCCUUGCUAUCACAGGUACAGCAAAUAACAGCCUACUACUUUUUUUAUCUACCAAAUUACAUUGUCAGCUACCAUUAUUGAUAUCCUGUUGUUUUCAAAAUACUUAUAAAGUAGUACUACUUUAUCUGUACAGGUAUUCUAAGACAUUCUUGUGCUUGGAUUGAUUUAUACUUUCUACCUUGCACUUUUAUUGACUAAGAUUAUGCAACAUAUUUUUCAAUAUAAAUUAUGGUUUACUGAUAGCAUUUUUUUGUUGACGAAAAAAGGCAUCAUUAUAGAUCUUACGUCUGUUUUGUUCGCAUGGUGUUAUAACUCUGUAAAAUGCCUGUAUAUAUACGUCUUAUCCUGCUAUGUAAGUACGUGUUUGAAGAUCGCCAGCUUCUGCUUGAUAGAAAACAUGGACAACACGGUUCACUUUGUGUAACUUACUGGCAUGUACAUUUAUAUUUUUGUUAGCCGGUGAAACAUAUUGGUGUUGUAACUGAUGUAAAUACCGGGUUGAAAGACUAGCAGUAAAUAUGACCUCCUUCUUUGGCU